rnacentral:misc_RNA from 1 species
GUGAAUCAUCGAAUCUUUGAACGCACAUUGCGCCCUUUGGUAUUCCGAAGGGCAUGCCUGUUCGAGCGUCAUUAUCACCCCUCAAGCCCUCGGCUUGGUGUUGGACGGCUUGGUGGAGGACCCCUUUGCGGGCUUCUACCCCUCCCAAAGACAAUGACGGCGGCCUCGUUGGACCCCCGGUACACUGAGUUCUUCACGGGACACGUAUCGGACACACGGGUUGACGGGACACGGUCUGCCUCCCCUUAGGGAGAAUCUUUUUAUCAAGGUUGACCUCGGAUCAGGUAGGGAUACCCGCUG